rnacentral:rRNA from 1 species
CCUACGGGUGGCAGCAGUGGGGAAUAUUGGGCAAUGGGCGCAAGCCUGACCCAGCAACGCCGCGUGAAGGAAGAAGGCUUUCGGGUCGUAAACUUCUGUUCUGAGGGACGAAGAAAGUGACGGUACCGCAGGAAUAAGCCACGGCUAACUACGUACCAGCAGCCGCGGUAAGACGUAGGUGGCAAGCGUUAGCCGGAUUUGUUGGGUGUAAAUGGCGUGUAGGCGGGAAAGCAAGUCAGAUGGGAAAACUCAGGGCUCAAACCUGAGCCUGCAUUUGAAACUGUUUUACUUGAGUGCUGGAGAGGAGAUUGGAAUUCCGGGUGUAGCGGUGAAAUGCGUAGAUAUAAGGAGGAACACCAGUGGCGAAGGCGGAUUGCUGGACAGUAACUGACGCUGAGGCGCGAAAGCGUGGGGAGCAAACAGGAUUAGAUACCCGUGUAGUC